rnacentral:rRNA from 1 species
UUCGCCCUUAGAGUUUGAUCCUGGCUCAGGACGAACGCUGGCGGCGUGCUUAACACAUGCAAGUCGAACGGAGUUAUGUUUUCGGAUAUAACUUAGUGGCGAACGGGUGAGUAACGCGUGAGGAACCUGCCUUUCAGUGGGGGAUAACAGUUAGAAAUGACUGCUAAUACCGCAUAAGCGCACGGAACCGCAUGGUUCUGUGUGAAAAACUCCGGUGGUAUGAGAUGGACCCGCGUCUGAUUAGCUAGUUGGUGGGGUAACGGCCCACCUAGGCAACGAUGGGUAGCCGAGCUGAGAGGCUGAUCGGCCACACUGGGACUGAGAUACGGCCCAGACUCCUACGGGAGGCAGCAGGGGGGAAUAUUGGGCAAUGGGGGAAACCCUGACCCAGCAACGCCGCGUGAAGGAAGAAGGCCUUCGGGUUGUAAACUUCUGUGACAGGGGACGAAGAAGUGACGGUACCCUGAGAGGAAGCUCCGGCAAACUACGUGCCAGCAGCCGCGGUAAUACGUAGGGAGCGAGCGUUGUCCGGAAUUACUGGGCGUAAAGGGCGCGUAGGCCGUAAAUCAAGUCACAUGUGAAAUACCUGGGCUCAACCUGGGGGGUGCAUGUGAAACUGGUAUACUUGAGUGCGGCAGAGGAAAGUGGAAUUCCUAGUGUAGCGGUGAAAUGCGUAGAUAUUAGGAGGAACACCAGUGGGCGAAGGCGACUUUCUGGGCCGUAACUGACGCUGAGGCGCGAAAGCGUGGGGAGCAAACAGGAUUAGAUACCCUGGUAGUCCACGCUGUAAACGAUGAAUGCUAGGUGUAGGAGGUAUCGACCCCUUCUGUGCCGCAGUUAACACAAUAAGCAUUCCGCCUGGGGAGUACGGCCGCAAGGUUGAAACUCAAAGGAAUUGACGGGGGCCCGCACAAGCAGCGGAGCAUGUUGUUUAAUUCGACGCAACGCGAAGAACCUUACCAGGGCCUGACAUCCCAAGGAUUCGGUGGAAACACUGAAGUGCCCUUCGGGGAACUUGGAGACAGGUGGUGCAUGGUUGUCGUCAGCUCGUGUCGUGAGAUGUUGGGUUAAGUCCUGCAACGAGCGCAACCCUUAUUGUCAGUUGCCAGCACGUAAAGGUGGGAACUCUGACGAGACUGCCGUGGAUAACACGGAGGAAGGUGGGGACGACGUCAAAUCAUCUUGCUCCUUAUGUCCUGGGCUACAAACGUGCUACAAUGGUCGUUACAGAGGGCAGCAAACCCGCGAGGGUAAGCGAAACCGAAAAAAGCGAUCUCAGUUCGGAUUGUGGGCUGCAACCCGCCACAUGAAGUUGGAGUUGCUAGUAAUCGCGGAUCAGAAUGCCGCGGUGAAUGCGUUCCCGGGCCUUGCACACACCGCCCGUCA